rnacentral:rRNA from 1 species
AUUGAACGCUGGCGGCAGGCCUAACACAUGCAAGUCGAGCGGAUGAAGGGAGCUUGCUCCUGGAUUCAGCGGCGGACGGGUGAGUAAUGCCUAGGAAUCUGCCUGGUAGUGGGGGGUAACGUCCGGAAACGGGCGCUAAUACCGCAUACGUCCUGAGGGAGAAAGUGGGGGAUCUUCGGACCUCACGCUAUCAGAUGAGCCUAGGUCGGAUUAGCUAGUUGGUGGGGUAAAGGCCUACCAAGGCGACGACCCGUAACUGGUCUGAGAGGAUGAUCAGUCACACUGGAACUGAGACACGGUCCAGACUCCUACGGGAGGCAGCAGUGGGGAAUAUUGGACAAUGGGCGAAAGCCUGAUCCAGCCAUGCCGCGUGUGUGAAGAAGGUCUUCGGAUUGUAAAGCACUUUAAGUUGGGAGGAAGGGCAGUAAGUUAAUACCUUGCUGUUUUGACGUUACCAACAGAAUAAGCACCGGCUAACUUCGUG